rnacentral:ribozyme from 1 species
UUCCACUUUUCUAUUUUUUCAUGUUUUUCCUUUUUUUGGUCCUCUCUCUACACAUUUGCCUUCUUCUUCUUUAGAAAAAGACUUGAAAAAGAAGAAGUGGAGAUGUACAGUGGAAGUAUAUCGAAAUUGAUGGGUUUGUUAAAGUUUUUGACCAUUUUCUUUUGUUUUUUUAAUUGUUUUUGACCAUUCCAGAAACCCAAAUAACACGGUUAUUUUUGUGUUU